GAUGAACGCUCGCUACAGGCUUAACACAUGCAAGUCGAGGGGAAACGAUGAGAGAGCUUGCUCUCUUAGGCGUCGACCGGCGCACGGGUGAGUAACGCGUAUCCAACCUACCCAUUACAGGGGGAUAACCUUGCGAAAGUAAGACUAAUACCCCAUGGCAUUUUAUGGUGGCAUCAUUAUAGGAUUAAAGAUUUAUUGGUAAUGGAUGGGGAUGCGUCUGAUUAGCUUGUUGGCGGGGUAACGGCCCACCAAGGCAACGAUCAGUAGGGGUUCUGAGAGGAAGGGCCCCCACAUUGGAACUGAGACACGGUCCAAACUCCUACGGGAGGCAGCAGUGAGGAAUAUUGGUCAAUGGGCGAGAGCUUGAACCAGCCAAGUAGCGUGCAGGAUGACGGCCCUAUGGGUUGUAAACUGCUUUUAUAGGGGAAUAAAGUGAGCUACGUGUAGUUUAUUGCAUGUACCCUAUGAAUAAGGACCGGCUAAUUCCGUG
rnacentral:rRNA from 1 species